rnacentral:rRNA from 1 species
ACUCAAAGGAAUAGACGGGGACCCGCACAAGCGGUGGAGCAUGUGGAUUAAUUCGAAGCAACGCGAAGAACCUUACCAAGGCUUGACAUCCCGACGGAUGCGCCAGAGACGGCGCAGGCCCUCCGGGGACGUCGGAGACAGGUGGUGCAUGGUUGUCGUCAGCUCGUGUCGUGAGAUGUUGGGUUAAGUCCCGCAACGAGCGCAACCCCUAUCCUUAGUAGCCACCGGGUAAAGCCGGGCACUUUAGGGAGACUGCCGUGGAUAACACGGAGGAAGGUGGGGACGAUGUCAAAUCAUCAUGCCCCUUAUGUCUUGGGCAUCACACGUGCUACAAUGGCUCUUACAGAGUGAGGCGAGCCCGCGAGGGGGAGCAAAUCACGAAAAGGAGCCCCAGUUCGGAUUGCAGCCUGCAACUCGGCUGCAUGAAGUCGGAAUCGCUAGUAAUCGCGAAUCAGCAUGUCGCGGUGAAUACGUUCCCGGGUCUUGUACACACCGCCCGU